UCCUUUUUGUUGAUCCUUUCACAAAAUAGUGAAAGCAAAGACCGGAACCAGAACAGCUGACAAGGCCAGAAUUCAACAGGAGGCUCAGUCAACAGGAGUCUGGAUGUUUCUGCGGGAAGAGAACUACACAUUUCUAUUAGAAGGGAGAUAAUAUGCUUGUUCCUUUCUGCUGCAAAGCUUCCUCUUACUCAGUACUCGUCAAAAGUAAAUGGGACAGAUGGUCAUUCCACACAGGAAGUGGAAAUGGGAAGAAAAUAUGGACUUUCUGUGAGAUUCUGUUGGAAUUUUUGUUCAUUUAUCACAGAGUCUGUUCAUCUCAAAAGGUGCUUGAUGCUUUUCUUCCACAGCAAAUUCUUAAAAAAAACUUUUAUGGCCCCUGCUUUGUGUACCUUCUUCCCAUAUUGACUCCAACAUAAGUCAAAGAAAAAAACCUGAUAAAGAGAGGUCAUCUUACAUUCCAA